AUGAGAUUCGAUGCCGAUACUCUCAUCUCCCGCUAUAACCUUCAUCUGUCCACCGUUCAAGCCACAAUCCGGUGCCUCCGUUUUGUUUUUCACCUGAGUCCGCAACAGACCAAACCUCCACCUUACGGCACCAACUCAAAUUUGGCUCGUUCAGUAUCUCAGCGCUAUUCGGUAAAUUUUAAUGUGUUUUUUCUUUUAUUGAAAAUGCGAUUAAAUUGUUGGUGCUGUUGUUUUUUUUUUUUUGUGGAAAAGAACUGUAGAAUAUAA